GACGAACGCUGGCGGCGUGCCUAAUACAUGCAAGUAGAACGCUGAAGGAGGAGCUUGCUUCUCUGGAUGAGUUGCGAACGGGUGAGUAACGCGUAGGUAACCUGCCUGGUAGCGGGGGAUAACUAUUGGAAACGAUAGCUAAUACCGCAUAAGAGUAGAUGUUGCAUGACAUUUGCUUAAAAGGUGCAAUUGCAUCACUACCAGAUGGACCUGCGUUGUAUUAGCUAGUUGGUGGGGUAACGGCUUACCAAGGCGACGAUACAUAGCCGACCUGAGAGGGUGAUCGGCCACACUGGGACUGAGACACGGCCCAGACUCCUACGGGAGGCAGCAGUAGGGAAUCUUCGGCAAUGGACGGAAGUCUGACCGAGCAACGCCGCGGGAGUGAAGAAGGUUUUCGGAUCGUAAAGCUCUGUUGUAAGAGAAGAACGAGUGUGAGAGUGGAAAGUUCACACUGUGACGGUAUCUUACCAGAAAGGGACGGCUAACUACGUG
rnacentral:rRNA from 1 species